CCUACGGGUGGCUGCAGUGAGGAAUAUUGGACAAUGGGUGAGAGCCUGAUCCAGCCAUCCCGCGUGAAGGACGACUGCCCUAUGGGUUGUAAACUUCUUUUAUACUGGGAUAAACCUACCCUCGUGAGGGUAGCUGAAGGUACAGUAUGAAUAAGCACCGGCUAACUCCGUGCCAGCAGCCGCGGUAAUACGGAGGGUGCAAGCGUUAUCCGGAUUUAUUGGGUUUAAAGGGUCCGUAGGCGGGCUCGUAAGUCAGUGGUGAAAUCUCAUAGCUU
rnacentral:rRNA from 1 species